rnacentral:tRNA from 2 species
GCGGAAGUGGCGGAAUUGGCAGACGCACCAUCUUGAGGGGGUGGCGCCCAUCGUGGCGUGCGGGUUCAAGUCCCGCCUUCCGCA